GACGAACGCUGGCGGCGUGCUUAACGCAUGCAAGUCGAACGAGAAUCAAUGGAAAGAGACUUCGGUCAAUGGAAGUUGAGGACAGUGGCGGACGGGUGAGUAACGCGUGAGGAACCUGCCUUUCAGAGGGGGACAACAGUUGGAAACGACUGCUAAUACAGCAUAACGCAUAGGUAUCGCAUGGUACAUAUGCCAAGGAUUUAUCGCUGAAAGAUGGCCUCGCGUCUGAUUAGCUAGUUGGUGAGUUAAAGGCUCACCAAGGCGACGAUCAGUAGCCGGACUGAGAGGUUGGCCGGCCACAUUGGGACUGGGAUACGGCCCAGACUCCUACGGGAGGCAGCAGUGGGGAAUAUUGGGCAAUGGGCGCAAGCCUGACCCAGCAACGCCGCGUGAAGGAAGAAGGCUUUCGGGUUGUAAACUUCUUUUGUCAGGGAAGAGUAGAAGACGGUACCUGACGAAUAAGCCACGGCUAACUACGUGCCAGCAGCCGCAGUAAAAC
rnacentral:rRNA from 1 species